ACCCUGCUCGGUUCGGACCCUGUCCCGUUCGGACCCUGCUGGUUUUGGAUCCUGCUCGGUUUGGUCCCUGCCCGGUUCGGACCCUGUCCCGUUCGGACCCUGCUGGUUUUGGAUCCUGCUCGGUUUGGUCCCUGUCCGGUCCGGACCCUGCCCGGUUCGGACCCUGCUGGUUUUGGAUCCUGCUCGGUUUGGUCCCUGUCCGGUCCGGACCCUGCCCGCCCCCGGGCCGGGGUGACUCACGGAGCCGCGGGUGCUGAGCGGGAGCGCGGCUAUUUCCGUGCUCCCCCUGCAAUCCCUGCUCCUCCGGCUGCGCUGUCAGGCACCUCAGCACCCCCGCCGCCUCUAUUCUUAGCAGCUAAUAGCUGAAAUAAUUCCUUUUGUCUCCGCGCUGUUGGCUCCUUGCAUCGGGAGGCAGCGAGAGCUGCCCCCACAGCCGCUGCCAGCGCUGGGAGGGCGGCCGGGGGUCCCGGGGGUGGGGGCGGUGUCCCUGUGCCCACCGGGAAUUCUGCUGUGGGCUGAGCAUCCCAAACACCCCGGCCCCGAGUCCCACACCGGCCCCGAAGCGGUGCUUGGAAGCGGCUGGGAUGUUAAUGCGGUGCCACCUCUUUGAAAAGGAUCCUGGCACUUCCAGCUGGCUUUCUUAGACUUCACCGGGAAAAUUCCAGGUUUUCAGAGGGAGGGCCAGGUUUUCACCUGCGGGCUCCCAUUUCAGUGCCUGCUCUGUGCCGUGGUUCGCACCGAGAAUGCAAAAGCUCCAUGCAAAUGUGACUCCCCAGUGCCAGCACAGCCGUGCCAACACAUCCCCGACAGCGCCCGGGAGCGAGCCCACACCUCUGGCAGGGCUGGCUUUCGAUCCCAGCACCAGCUGUUCCACACAAUUCCCUUGAAGCACCCCCCGAGGGGCACCAUGAACCCCCUGCCCCGCUCUCUGUGGGGCUGUCAGCCGAGCACACCCAAACAGACACACGGAAUCGGCUUUGAAACUGUUUGGGAAGGGGUUUGUUGCUCUUUAUCUGCCUGCUGCUCUUCCUCCUGCUGCUUGGGAUCCCAAGGAGAGCAGCAGUGUUCCAAAUGGAACAGGGUGCCCAGAGCAGCUGUGGCUGUCCCUGGAUCCCUGGAGGUGUCCAAGGCCAGGCUGGAUGGGGCUUGGAGCAGCCUGGGAUGGUGGAAGGUGUCCCUGCCCAUGGCAGGGGUGGCACUGGAUGAGCUUUAAGGUCCCUUCCUACCCAAACCAUUCUGUGAUUCUGCUGGGCUGGUAAAGAAAGGACUCACUGGCCAUUUCUCUGGAAUUCACUAUGGAAAACAAUAAACCUUUUGGAAAAAAACAAAACCUGAAUGUUUGUUGUGACUCUGUCCCUCACUGAGGCUGUUUGUAAGCAUGAGGUAUCACUGGCAAAUCCAACAAGAGCUACCCCACAUCAGCACUUGAAAAACUGACCAUUCUGCAUUUUACAGCAGCUUUUAAGCCUUUGCGUUGGUAAAGUGAAGAAACUUUUCCACUGCCCUGUCCACCUUUGCCCGAUUCUUUGCUCCUUCCGUUUGUGCCCAGCCACUCCCGCAGGGAUGUGCCAAGCCUCCCCUUCCGUGGCUGCGAGGUCGAGGGGUUACACAUUUACAGCUGCCCAGACUUGCUCCGGCCCGGGCAGGAAUUCACUUGGCAUAAACGAAGCCUUUGGAUUAUUUAUCUCAGCCUUUCAGUUAAACAGGAACAUGCCCUGAUUUUAACAAUCGUGCUUCCUGCGCUGGGGGAAGGUGUGGCCGAUGGCAUUUAAACCGAAACCCGAGCCAAGGCUUCCCCGGCAGGAAGCUGGAAGUGCGGGCAGGACCACGAGGGUUUCCUUCAGCACUCAAAACACCCCAGCAGCAAUAAUGAUGUGCAUAAGGGGGAGAUCUGGGGAGUGUCAGACUCCAUUUGUUGCUGCUAUCAAGGUCAUCGCAGCGUGGCAGCAGAAAAUCGCACGGGAGACGCCGGAGAACUGAGGAUGAACCUUCAGGUACAGCCUGGCACAGAAGCAGGGCAAGCCCAAACCUCCUCUGGAAGCUGAGGAAUCCCUCUUGAUCCUUUCAUGGUGCUGAGGGAACUGUCAGUGACAGUCUGGAGAGUCAAUCCUCUCCCUCCCUCCUCAACAAAUGGUAUUUUCCCCAAACAUCCAGCCCGAACCACCCCAGUUGCAAGUCCUGAAAUCUUGCUAGAAUGUUCAGCACUAUAAAAACUCUUUAUUUUAUUAAUCAGCACUGUAAGCACCCAGGGCCCAGCUGUGAUCAGCCAUGGGGUCACUCCCAGUUUUGGAAGAGAUUCCUACCCUGCCAUUCUGAUGGUGACACCGAUCUCCCCUGUCUCACACCACAGCCAUGGAUUAUUCCCAUUUUCCAAGCCUCCUUUCUAGCCCAGGGCUUUGCACCCUCAUAGGCAGUUCUUACAAAACCAAAGCUCUGCCUCCUACUUUUAAAGUCUGUAAGGAAAAGAAAAAAAGCUAAAAAAAAAAAACCCAACCCAAACCAGUAGCUACACAUGGAAAUGGGCUCCAGUUAAACCAGAAAAGCAGCCUAGAUUUUUAUAGUGGAAUGUCGAAGAUGUUCAAACGCUGAAUACUGCCCAAGAGUGUCAGAAAAUGACUUUAUGUUUUUAGGCCUCAUCACUCCGAUCUGAGGGCUGAAGUUUUCCACUGCCCCAAGAUUCCUGACACAGCUGAUUGCUCCCCAGUGCAGCACAGCUCUGAGCUCCUCUUGGGAGCCACCAGCAAGCACCUAGAGCCAGGCAAGGACAGAAACACUCCAGGGCUGGUGAUUUUCAAAGGAAAGCAAACCAUAAAAUAAACACUGCAUUUCUCCUGAAAGCAACCAGAAAGAGUCAUUUGGGAUAAAUCAAAGUUGGUUUCACCUUCCUGACGCACCACAGGCCUGACAAAAGCGGUGUGAGCCGCAAGCACCAGCGAACUGCCCCGUUUCUGAGGCUCCCAGCUUUCAUCUGGCUCGGGUGUUUCAUCUUGCUCUGUCACAUCUGGAGCUCCCUGGAUCUCGAGGUGGGCUCUGCCCGCCUGCACAGCGUGGUGCAAACCACCAGGGAGAAGUGGGAACACAGAAAAUCCGCCCUGGCCCAGCGUGCUGGGGCUCCUGAGAGAAUGGGGGUGACUGGAAGCAGCACAGGCAGCUCCAGCCCCAGCAAAGCCCGGCCUGCUUGGGGGGUGACUCAUUUCAGGAGCCUGUGCUCGCUCCCAGUCAUUAAGGAAGGAGUUAAUCCCUGCAGCUUUGGCCACAAAGUGGAUGUGUAAGGCCUGGAGUCCCAUGGGCUCGAUUGCAUAAGAAACCAUGUAUUGUGGCAUUUAGUUGAUCAUGCACUACUUCUUCUGGUCACAUGGAGGCUUGAUUUCCCCUUGCAUCAGCUACUACAGACUUUUUACAGUUCUCAUACUGGUGUCUGUUCAGCUCACCGGGGUCAUCCCCUUCACCCCACAGCACAGCCCGUGCUGCUCACCCAGCCCUGACCCACGGGAUCUCACCCCAUUUUUUGUAGGAUCCUAUCAGAGCAACCGGGCACUUGUAAUUUUCCUCAUUUGUGUCUGUGCGUAACAGGUGUCAUUUUCAGUGUAGUACAGACAAAUCCCAAAAUAGCUCAGGCUCUUCAGACGCUGCGAGGAGAAAAAAAACCGUGGUUACUUCAGCUUUGGUUGUAGUGAAAAACCCAACGCUCGCAGCCGGCUCUGAAGUCAGAAUUAAAAUGGCAGACGGAGGAGUGGAGCAGGGAUCUCUCUGCAUUCCGUGGUUCCUGACGGACUGCUCCUCGCUGCUCUGUGUGUGCACAUCAACUCCCUCUCAGUGCUGCCUCUCCAUCAGCUUCCCUGAUUCCCAGGAGCUGCACCUACCACGGAUCCUCCUCCACACUUCCCGGGGCUGGCAGAGCUCUGCUUCCCCUGCCGGGUGCCGGGGCUGGCCGGAGGCACCGGAGUUAUUCCAGGGAUUUGGGGGGCAGAGGUAAGGAGAGAGCGUGCAGCUGCAAAAGGCUCCUUGCCUGGGGAUGAUGCCUGCUGUGCUGAAAUGCAGAGCUGCCUGUGGCCUGUCUUUGUUGGGGAUUAUUGGAUUCUGUGGAUUCUGGUGACUCCAGGAGCGCAGUUAUUAGUUCCCCUGCCUACGCCGAGCGUUUUGAAUCUGUGUGUGUGAUAACACUUAUUAAUGCUGCUCAGAUUAAGAAGAUCCUAUGGCUUUCCAGCACUUUCAGUACCUUAUCUCACGCCAUGCAUCUCCCCAGCAGCUAAACCACGCUCAGAUCACUGUCUUGUGGCCAGCAGAGCAGGGGUUUGUGGGGCCAGCAGUAGCCUCAUGCCCAAAAGUCCUGCAUUUGUUCACAGCAGCAGCUCCUCUUAAGCUGCCUUGUGCUUCAGGGGAUCUGCCUGCUGAGGAUUUGCAGGACAUGGGCCUAAAAUAUCUCGUUUCAGGAAGUCAAGCAGUGGUUCCUGUCACCGAAACAGUUAAUCAGAAAGCACCAACUCUCUGCUGCAACGUGUGUGUGCGUGCACGUGUUUUUGUUUUUUAGAGCCAGCAAGAUUUGCUUUGGUUUUUUUAAAGCAGAAAACACCAAAAAAGUUGGCUGUGGUUUCAGCUGCUAUCGCUCGAGAUUUGUACUGCUGACUACCAAUCCUAAAAGAGUUAACCUGGCAAGUAUGACUCAGAAGCAGAGAAGGAGAUGCGAGGCUGAGAGCCGGGGAGGAAGCGCAGAAAGAGAGGUGAGGAACAGAAUAAUUGCCAAAAAAAGGUGCAGAGUCCAGGAGCGACGUUCCCUCCGGUCUGCCUGGCCCUGGCACCGCUGGCACGGGCUCCCUGGAAAGCUGCAGUUCCGCUCUUAUAACACAAGGAGCAGGCUGGAGAAUUUAGAGCUGCGUCACAGAGCUCAGCGAGAGAGUGAGAGAGCAAGCUCCGUCGAUAGGUCUACCAGCAACAGCCCUGCUGCAGCAAGAGGGGAGAGAGGCAGCAAGAGAGGCAGAGAGGGCUCCAGGAAGAGAAGUGGCACCAACACCACGGACUGGGCUCCUGCCACCAUCCACUGCCAUUUGCACCUCGUACUUGGGUUCGCUUGGCGUAGGAAGCUUCGCCCAUUGACGAUGCUGGAGACCCGGCGCGCUUAAUCCCACGGGGAGGGAGAGUGGGCAGACACCGAAAGGGUUAACGGGAAGGAAAUUUCUGGAACCUUCUCUUCUGCGGCGCUCCAGAGCGAGCGGAGGGCUGAGGACUGCGCAGAUGGUGCACGGGCACGGCUCCUCGGUCCGGUUCGUCUCCCUCACCGCCCAGCAAUGAAGAUGGCAGCUCUGCCUGGAAGUGCUGAGGACACAGCCAGCCUUGAGCUUGGUCCUUCUGGCCGAGGAAGUCCCCCGAUUAUGCAGUGGAGUGGUAACUUUGUUUUCUCAUACAACAGGGGCCAUUAUUCCAUAGCCUUCCAUCAUUCUGAGGCUUACCAAGUUUCAGGAUGUGCUAGCAGGAGUGUUUAAUCUCUGUUACUCGCUGGCUGACAUCUCCAGCGUCAGGGUUGGUUGUUUAGCAACAACCGCUGGGCUCAGGCACCGCGCGGCCGCCGUCCCCAUCGCCUGGGCUGCAGCCUGGCCUCUGCAGGGUGCUCUGGGGGACAGGGAGAGAGGGCAGGGCUGGAUUUACACCCCGAAUGGAAUUUUGGGGGUUUGGUCGCGCAGGCCGCAGGCGCUGCGGAUUUUUCGCGACGCCGUCCUUUGCGCAGGGCCGCCAUUUCCAACGGCAGUGCGGCGCGGGGACGGGGAGGGAAGAACCCAACAGACUGUACGUGCCACUCCCCACUUUCUUUCCCUCUUUCCCAUCUCCAUCUUUCCUCCUUCCCCUCCUUUCCUGCCAGAUUCCAUAGGGAAUUUCAGCCUCUUACUGCAGUCAUCACAACCCCUCCUGACUCACUGAGCCUUCGCUGGCUGGUGCUGGCUCCCUCGGAGCAUCCUUGCCUCCCGCAGCGCCAGAUCCGCAGAGCAGGGGAACAACAGGAACAGCAGCGACAAUGGUGGUCCCUGCAGACAGACAGACAGGCAUUAAUACACACACACACAUGAGAACAGUCCCAGGCAGCUGUGGAGGGGGUUCUGUACAGCCAGGAGCUGGACUAAGGAAUGAUGCUGGGUUGUGUGGAUGAUCAGUGGGUUGAGGGUAUUUUCUCCAGUGUUGGUUGCAUGGACAACUCUUCUGGUUUUCCCCAUCACGGCUGUGGGGUGGAGAAGCCCUGACUUUGUAAAGCUAGUGCUGUUUUAUGGCUUUCAAGGAGGUGCCACUGGCUGCUGAGUGUGAUCAGCAUAGGGAUGUAUUUGGUUUAAUUCCUUUUGCCACCAUGUUUUGGCCACAGCGAUGGUUUAACUGUGCCUAAACGCAGGGAGGGCAGGGAGACGGAUAUAAGAGGAGUUAUUUCAAUGUUAAACUCCAGCUGUAAAUCUCAUUACUCAGGAAUCGAGGUUACUGUCAGCAGGUAAAUCUGUGGGACUGGCAGGAAACAAGGCUAAGAAGGGGACAUGGCAUAUUUCUGUGGGACAGCAGUGAUUGUGUGCACAGGGGUGGCACUGUCACCGUGAGCUGCACCUGGGUAACCGUUCCACGAUCGUUUUCCGCACAGUGCCGCAAAAGGACUGGGGAAAGCUGUGAUUUCUCCCUCCCUCUGACACUUGUGUGUGUGACACUGCAUGAGCUGAUUCAUUUUCCUGUAUCUGGGUUUCCCUGCUCUGGGGAGUGGGGUUUGCUCUGCCUCGGCCUUGGUGCAGCAUCGUGACGCAGCGUUCGGUACCACGCCGACAAAACGCACGCAAUUUUCUCGGGCGUUCUGACCGCUCGGGGACCGCGGGAUUCGGGGAAGGAAGGGCAGGAUUUCACAUGCCCAUGAUAUAAAUUUAAAGCAUUACCUCUUCUUGUCUGCUAGUGAAGGAAGGCUCUGUGAGGGACGAGACAGCCAUGAUCUCCUCCUGCUCUUGUUUUGCCGAUGGUCAUGUUACAUCUGUGACGCAGACGAAUUUUGCUCUUGGUUCCUGUCGGUGCUUUAGGGAGUGGAGCUGAUGGGGGCACAAGCUUGAAUAUGGUUAGAAAUAUUCAUUUCAUAUUGAUGUUAGAGUUGAAACCACACCUGAAGGGUCAGGGGUAUCAGGUCUACCUAGUGACCCUGCCAAAUGGUGAAGGAAUUCAGAUGAGCCCCAGCAUCCCUGGCCAUUUUGCAGCUCGCAGAGCAAGCUCAGAGCCUGCAGCUCUGCUGCUGCUGCUGUUCAUUUCCAUGUUAUACAAAUACAGCACUGGGCUCUGUGUCAGGAGCUUUCUGAUGCUGUGAGAAGCUUGAAGUCUACAAGCAAAUGUUUUUCUUUUCUUAUUUGGGAACAUUCAUUAAAACAUCUAAAUGCCAA